UACGUAGGGGGCAAGCGUUGUCCGGAUUUAUUGGGCGUAAAGAGCGUGUAGGCGGUUAUACAGGUCCGCUGUGAAAACUGGAGGCUCAACCUCCAGCUGUCGACGGAAACCGUAUGGCUAGAGUCCGGAAGAGGAGAGUGGAAUUCCUGGUGUAGCGGUGAAAUGCGCAGAUAUCAGGAAGAACACCAAUGGCGAAGGCAGCUCUCUGGGACGGUACUGACGCUGAGACGCGAAAGCGUGGGGAGCGAACAGG
rnacentral:rRNA from 1 species